ensembl:snRNA U1 U1 spliceosomal RNA
AUACUUACCUGGCAGGGGAGACACCGUGAUCAAGAAGGUGGUUCACCCAGGGCGAGGCUCAACCAUUGCACUGGUAACAUGAUGUUGGCUGUGACGCAGUCAGUGGGAGAUCCAGCCGGUUUGAAGAACAUGUUGAGAUUUGAGUUCAAG